UUAAGUUAAUAAGGGCGCACGGUGGAUGCCUUGGCACUAGGAGCCGACGAAGGACGUGACAAACGACGAUAUGCCUUGGGUAGCUGUAAGUAAGCGAUGAUCCAGGGAUUUCCGAAUGGGGGAACCCAACAGGUAGUACCUGUUACCCACAUCUGUUAAGGAUGUGAGGAGGAAGACGCAGUGAACUGAAACAUCUAAGUAGCUGCAGGAAGAGAAAGCAAAAGCGAUUGCCUUAGUAGCGGCGAGCGAAACGGCAGGAGGGCAAACCGAAGAGUUUACUCUUCGGGGUUGUAGGACUGCAAUGUGGACUCAAAGAUUAUAGAAGAAUGAUUUGGGAAGAUCAGCCAAAGAGAGUAAUAGCCUCGUAUUUAAAAUAGUCUUUGUACUUAGCAGUAUCCUGAGUACGGCGGGACACGUGAAAUCCCGUCGGAAUCUGGGAGGACCAUCUCCCAACCCUAAAUACUCCCUAGUGACCGAUAGUGAACCAGUACCGUGAGGGAAAGGUGAAAAGCACCCCGGGAGGGGAGUGAAAUAGAACCUGAAACCGUGUGCCUACAACAAGUUCGAGCCCGUUAAUGGGUGAGAGCGUGCCUUUUGUAGAAUGAACCGGCGAGUUACGUUAUGAUGCGAGGUUAAGUUGAAGAGACGGAGCCGUAGGGAAACCGAGUCUGAAUAGGGCGCCUUAGUAUCAUGACGUAGACCCGAAACCAUGUGACCUACCCAUGAGCAGGUUGAAGGUGCGGUAAGACGCACUGGAGGACCGAACCAGGGCACGUUGAAAAGUGCUUGGAUGACUUGUGGGUAGCGGAGAAAUUCCAAACGAACUUGGAGAUAGCUGGUUCUCUCCGAAAUAGCUUUAGGGCUAGCGUCGACAUUAGAGAUUCUUGGAGGUAGAGCACUGUUUGGGUGAGGGGUCCAUCCCGGAUUACCAAUCUCAGAUAAACUCCGAAUGCCAAUGAAUUAUGGUCGGCAGUCAGACUGCGAGUGCUAAGAUCCGUAGUCGAAAGGGAAACAGCCCAGACCACCAGCUAAGGUCCCAAAAUAAUUGUUAAGUGGAAAAGGAUGUGGGGUUGCACAGACAACUAGGAUGUUAGCUUAGAAGCAGCUAUUCAUUCAAAGAGUGCGUAAUAGCUCACUAGUCGAGUGACCCUGCGCCGAAAAUGUACCGGGGCUAAAACAAUUUACCGAAGCUGUGGAUACCUUUAUAGGUAUGGUAGGAGAGCGUUCUAUGUGUGAUGAAGGUAUACCGUGAGGAGUGCUGGAACGCAUAGAAGUGAGAAUGCCGGUAUGAGUAGCGAAAGACAGGUGAGAAUCCUGUCCACCGUAAGACUAAGGUUUCCAGGGGAAGGCUCGUCCGCCCUGGGUUAGUCGGGACCUAAGGAGAGACCGAAAGGUGUAUCCGAUGGACAACAGGUUGAUAUUCCUGUACUAGAGUAUGUAGUGAUGGAGGGACGCAGUAGGCUAACUAAAGCAGACGAUUGGAAGAGUCUGUCUAAGCAGUGAGGUGUGAAUUGAGUCAAAUGCUUAAUUCUAUAACAUUGAGCUGUGAUGGGGAGCGAAGUUAGUGAGUAACGCACAGAAAAGCUUCUAGCGUUUAAACAUACUCUACCCGUACCGCAAACCGACACAGGUAGUCGAGGCGAGUAGCCUCAGGUGAGCGAGAGAACUCUCGUUAAGGAACUCGGCAAAAUGACCCCGUAACUUCGGGAGAAGGGGUGCUGACUUUAAGUCAGCCGCAGUGAAUAGGCCCAAGCAACUGUUUAUCAAAAACACAGCUCUCUGCUAAAUCGUAAGAUGAUGUAUAGGGGGUGACGCCUGCCCGGUGCUGGAAGGUUAAGAGGAGUGCUUAGCGUAAGCGAAGGUAUGAAUUGAAGCCCCAGUAAACGGCGGCCGUAACUAUAACGGUCCUAAGGUAGCGAAAUUCCUUGUCGGGUAAGUUCCGACCCGCACGAAAGGCGUAAUGAUUUGGGCACUGUCUCAACGAGAGACUCGGUGAAAUUUUGGUACCUGUGAA
rnacentral:rRNA from 1 species